GGAAUAUUGGACAAUGGGCGCAAGCCUGAUCCAGCAACGCCGCGUGGAGGAUGAAGGUCUUCGGAUUGUAAACUCCUGUCAGGCGGGACGAAGGAUCCGGGGUAAAUAAUCCCGGAUCUUGACGGUACUGCCAGAGGAAGCCCCGGCUAACUCCGUGCCAGCAGCCGCGGUAAUACGGAGGGGGCGAGCGUUAUUCGGAAUUAUUGGGCGUAAAGGGCGCGUAGGCGGCCCUGUAAGUCAAAGGUGAAAUCCCUCGGCUCAACUGAGGAACUGCCUUUGAAACUGCAGGGCUUGAGUCCGGGAGGGGGUAGCGGAAUUCCCAGUGUAGCGGUGAAAUGCGUAGAUAUUGGGAGGAACACCGGUGGCGAAGGCGGCUACCUGGACCGGCACUGACGCUGAGGCGCGAAAGCGUGGGGAGCAAA
rnacentral:rRNA from 1 species